ensembl:lncRNA
CUAUGGCAUCCUAUAGCACCCAAUGGUACCCUAUGGCAUCCUAUACAACUCUAUGGCACCCUAUGGCAUCUUAUGGCACCCUAUAGCAUCCUAUAACACCCUAUAACACCCAUAGGCACCCUAUAGAACCCUAUGGUAUUCUAUGGCAUCCUAUAGCACCCACUGGCACCCUAUAGAACCCUAUGGCAUCCUAUGGCACCCAAUGGCACCCUUUGGCAUCCUAUAGCACCCUAUGGCAUUCUAUGGCAUCCUAUAGAACUCAAUGGCACCCUGUAGCACCUAUGGCAUCCUAUAGCACCCUAUGGCAGCCUAUGGCAUCCUAUAGCACCCUAUGGCACCAAAUGGCAUCCUAUGGCACCCUAUAGAACCCUAUGGCAUCCUAUGGCAUCCUAUAGAACCCUAUGGCAUCCUAUAGCACCCAAUGGCAGCCAAUGGCACCCUAUAGAACCCUAUGGCACCCUAUGGCAUCCUAUAGCACCCUAUGGCACCCUAUAGAACCCUAUAGAACCCUAUGGCAUCCUAUGGCACCCUAUAGAACCCUAUGGCAUCCUAUGGCAUCCUAUAGCUCCCUAUGGCACCCUAUGGCAGCCUAUGGCAUCCUAUGGCACCCAAUGGCAUCCUAUGGCACCCUAUAGAACCCUAUGGCAUCCUAUGGCAGCCUAUGGCACCCUAUAGCACCCUAUGGCACCCUAUAGAACUCUAUGGCACCCUAUGGCAUCCUAUAGCACCCUAUGGCACCCUAUAGAACCCUAUGGCAUCCUAUGGCAGCCUAUGGCACCCUAUAACACCCUCUAACACCCUAUGGCAUCCUAUAGCACCCUAUGGCAUCCUAUAGCACCCUGUAGCACCCAAUGGCACCCUAUGGCAUCCUAUGGCAUCCUAUAGAACCCUAUGGCACCAAAUGGCAUCCUAUAGCACCCAAUGGCAGCCAAUGGCACCCUAUGGCAUCCUAUAGCAUCCCAUGGCAUCCUAUAGCACCCCAUGGCAUCCUAGAGCACCCUAUGGCACCCUAUGGCAUCCUAUGGCACCCUAUAGAACCCAAUGGCAUCCUAUGGCAUCCUAUAGCACCCUAUGGCACCCUAUAGCACCCUAUGGCACCCUAUGGCAUCCUAUGGCAUCCUAUGGCACCCUAUGGCAUCCUAUGGCAUCCUAUAGAACCCAAUGGCAGCCAAUGGCACCCUAUAGCAUCCUAUAGCAUCCCAUGGCAUACUAUAGCACCCCAUGGCAUCCUAUAGCACCCUAUAGCACCUAUGGCACCCUAUGGCACCCUAUGGCAUCCUAUAGAACCCAAUGGCAUCCUAUGGCACCCUAUGGCAUCCUAUGGCACCCUAUAGAACACAAUGGCACCCUAUGGCACCCUAUGGCAUCCCUAUAGCACCCUAUAGAACCCUAUGGCACCCUAUAGCACCCAGUGUCACCCAUUGUCCCCCAUUGUCCCUCAUUGUCCCCCACUGUCCCCACUGUCCCCCAUUCGCUCCCACUGUCCCCCAUUCACCCCAUUGCCCCCCAUUGCCCCCAUUGUCCCC